rnacentral:rRNA from 1 species
CCCCAUUGGUUGGGCAUGGGCGAGCCUGAUCCAGCAUGCCGCGUGUGUGAAGAAGGUCUUCGGAUUGUAAAGCACUUUUGGCAGGGACGAUGAUGACGGUACCUGCAGAAUAAGCCCCGGCUAACUUCGUGCCAGCAGCCGCGGUAAUUA